rnacentral:rRNA from 1 species
GACAGAGGAGCCAAGCGUUGUCCGGAUUGACUGGGCGUAAAGCGCACGCAGGCGGCUGUGCACGUGGGGUGUGAAAGCUGGCGGCUUAACUGCCAGACGCCACCUCAUACGGCACGGCUCGAGCCCGUGAGAGGUCCACGGAAUUGCCGGUGUAGUGGUGAAAUGCGUAGAGAUCGGCAGGAACACCCAGGGGGAAACCAGUGGACUGGCACGGUGCUGACGCUGAGGCGCGACAGCGUGGGGAGCAAACAGG